rnacentral:rRNA from 1 species
UACGAAGGGGGCUAGCGUUGCUCGGAAUCGCUGGGCGUAAAGGGCGCGUAGGCGGCCAUUUAAGUCGGGGGUGAAAGCCUGUGGCUCAACCACAGAAUUGCCUUCGAUACUGGAUGGCUUGAGACCGGAAGAGGUAAGUGGAACUGCGAGUGUAGAGGUGAAAUUCGUAGAUAUUCGCAAGAACACCAGUGGCGAAGGCGGCUUACUGGUCCGGUUCUGACGCUGAGGCGCGAAAGCGUGGGGAGCAAACAGG